AAACUACUCCCUCUGUCCGUAAAUACUUGUCAUCAAAAUGGAUAAAAAUGGACGUAUCUAGAACUAAAAUACGUCUAGAUACAUCUCCUUUUAUCCAUUUUGAUGACAGGUAUUUCUGGACGGAGGGGGUAGUUU
rnacentral:pre_miRNA from 1 species